AUCAACUUUCGAUGGUAGGAUAGAGGCCUACCAUGGUGGUAACGGGUAACGGGGUGUUAGGGCACGACACCGGAGAGGGAGCCUGAGAAACGGCUACCACAUCCAAGGAUGGCAGCAGGCGCGCAAAUUACCCAAUCCCGACACGGGGAGGUAGUGACAAUAAAUAACAAUACGGGGUUCUUUAGGAUCUCGUAAUUGGAAUGAGUACAAUUUAAAUCUCUUAACGAGGAACAAUUGGAGGGCAAGUCUGGUGCCAGCAGCCGCGGUAAUUCCAGCUCCAAUAGCGUAUAUUAAAGUUGUUGCAGUUAAAAAGCUCGUAGUUGAAUUUCGGGGUUAGUAGGUUGGUCAUGCCUCUGGUAUGUACUGGUCUCACUGAUUCCUCCUUCCUGAUGAACCGUAAUGCCAUUAAUUUGGUGUUGCGGGGAAUUUGGACUGUUACUUUGAAAAAAUUAGAGUGUUUAAAGCAAGCUAACGCUUGAAUACAUUAGCAUGGAAUAAUGAAAUAGGACGUUCGAUCCUAUUUUGUUGGUUUCUAGGAUUGACGUAAUGAUUAAUAGGGAUAGUUGGGGGCAUUAGUAUUCAAUUGUCAGAGGUGAAAUUCUUGGAUUUAUUGAAGACUAACUACUGCGAAAGCAUUUGCCAAGGAUGUUUUCAUUAAUCAAGAACGAAAGUUAGGGGAUCGAAGACGAUCAGAUACCGUCGUAGUCUUAACCAUAAACUAUGCCGACUAGGGAUCGGAUGAUGUUGAUUUUUUAAUGACUCAUUCGGCACCUUACGGGAAACCAAAGUGUUUGGGUUC
rnacentral:rRNA from 1 species